rnacentral:rRNA from 1 species
CCUACGGGGGGCUGCAGUGGGGAAUAUUGGACAAUGGGGGCAACCCUGAUCCAGCCAUGCCGCGUGUGUGAAGAAGGCCCUCGGGUUGUAAAGCACUUUCAGUGAGGAAGAACGCCUGGUGGUUAAUACCCAUCAGGAAAGACAUCACUCACAGAAGAAGCACCGGCUAACUCCGUGCCAGCAGCCGCGGUAAUACGGAGGGUGCGAGCGUUAAUCGGAAUUACUGGGCGUAAAGCGCGCGUAGGUGGCUUGAUAAGCCGGUUGUGAAAGCCCCGGGCUCAACCUGGGAACGGCAUCCGGAACUGUCAAGCUAGAGUGCAUGAGAGGAAGGUAGAAUUCCCGGUGUAGCGGUGAAAUGCGUAGAGAUCGGGAGGAAUACCAGUGGCGAAGGCGGCCUUCUGGACUGACACUGACACUGAGGUGCGAAAGCGUGGGUAGCAAACAGGAUUAGAUACCCCGGUAGUC